rnacentral:misc_RNA from 1 species
AACAUACCUAAACGUUGCCUCGGCGGGAACAGACGGCCCCGUGAAAACGGGCCGCCCCCGCCAGAGGACCCCCUAACUCUGUUUCUAUAAUGUUUCUUCUGAGUAAAACAAGCAAAUAAAUCAAAACUUUCAACAACGGAUCUCUUGGCUCUGGCAUCGAUGAAGAACGCAGCGAAAUGCGAUAAGUAAUGUGAAUUGCAGAAUUCAGUGAAUCAUCGAAUCUUUGAACGCACAUUGCGCCCGCCAGUAUUCUGGCGGGCAUGCCUGUUCGAGCGUCAUUACAACCCUCAGGCCCCCGGGCCUGGCGUUGGGGAUCGGCGGAGGCCCUCCGUGGGCACACGCCGUCCCCCAAAUACAGUGGCGGUCCCGCCGCAGCUUCCAUCGCGUAGUAGCUAACACCUCGCGACUGGAGAGCGGCGCGGCCACGCCGUAAAACCCCCAACUCUUCUGAA